UUUGGAGAUGAACCCCGGAAGGCGAGGUUAAGCUCCUCCCACCCUCCCCUACCUGGCCAAAGAAGAUCACUGUUGACGGGGUUUAGUUGUGGGCGGCUAGUGGUCCGUCUGCACGCGGCGUCUGGCCCGAGUAUAGAUUCGUAGGAGUCCCCGGCGCCCAGCACUGAGUGUCAUGCAUAAGAAUUGGUGUCACGAACAAGGGUUAGCCCCCGGCUCAUCCGCUAGGAAGGGCGUCCGGCGGAGGCGCCAGUUCCUCCCGAAGCCUUUCAUCGCUGUCGCCACCGGCCCCUGGCAGUGGCCGAACGUAAAGGCAGCCACUCGGGCUGCAAUGUCUCCUGGAGCUGGGGCCACGGCUCAGCGGUGAAACCCCAAGUCGGGGCGUGGGUUGAGCCCUCGUGCACUCAGAGACCAAUCAGACGAAAGGUGGCGUGGUGCGGUGGAAAGGGGUCCCAAGGAAAGUCCUCGGAUCCAGUUUCGAAUUACCGGCCUCCUCACUGAGCCCUGGAAGAAACAGCGGUGCCCGAGGGUGCAGAGAGGAAGGCUGAAACGUUGCCUGCUCCCUGCGUCUCAUCCUCUCUUUAUGCCUACCCUGGAGCUCAACUCCAGCAUUCAAGACUAUCGCUGACCGGAGUGCUUUUCAUGAUUUUGAGGCUUAUACCAGUAGAACUCACUUACUGGCCACUCUGCUGACCUUAGAAAGAAGUAAGGUCAUAUUUGAUGUCCUUUUCUUCGGCUGGAAACCUGAGCCAACCUUGCAAAAUACAAGGUCUUAACAAGGAUGGUGAUGCUGUGGGCGCUGGCAUUUCCAUGAUUAGGGAAACCAUCUCAGGAGCAGCCCUGUAGUGAGGAACUGAGCCUCAUGCCAGCAACCACAUGAAUGAGCCUUGUUGGAAAUGGAUUUUCUAGCCUCUUCAGAGACUGCAGCUCUAAUUGACAGCCUGACUAUUACCUCCUGAGAGACCCUGAGCCCAAAGCACCCAGAUUCCUGACCCUAGAAACUCUGUGAAAUAACAAAUAUUUAAGUUGCUAAAUUAUGAGAUAAUUUAUCAUGCUGCAGUAAAUUACUGACACAAUUAUCUAUUAAUCUUUGUAUAAUUUAAUACAUAAAGUAAAUCUGCCACUAACACAAGAACUAGAAUAUUGAUCAUAGCUUACUUCUAUCUAUGUGGCCUUUCUCCAUCCCUUUCUUCUUACUUCACCAAACUAAAGUGUUUUUGGGUUGUUGUUGUUUUGUUUUGUUUUUUUGAGACAGAGCCUUGCUCUGUCUCCCAGGCUGGAGUGCACUGGCACUAUCUCGGCUCACUGCAACUUCUGCCUCCUGAGUUCAAGCGAUUCUCUUGCUUCACCCUCUCGAGUAGCUGGGACCACAGGCACGUGCUGCCACAUCUGGCUAAUUUUUUGCAUUUUUAGUACAGACAGGUUUUCACCAUGUUAGCCAGGAUGGUCUCUAUCUUCUGACCUCGUGAUCUGCCUGCCUAUGCCUCCCAAUGUGCUGGGAUUACAGGCAUGAGCCACCACACCCGUAAAGUUAUCUUUAUCCUGAAUCUGAUAUUUGUCAUUCCCAUUACUUUGCAAAAAUAUAAUUUAAUAAUAUAUGUAUUCAUAAAAAUCUGUCAUUUAACAGCGGUUUGUUAGUUUUAACUUAAAGUUUCAUGCUAGAUAUAAAUUUUCUGUGGCCUUUUAAAUUUAUUCAACAUUGUUUUGCCAAGAUUCACCCAAAUCAAUGUACAUAGUGGCAGUUAAUUUGUUUUGACUGUUAUUUAGUAUCCACUGUCUGACUAUACCAUACUUUAUCCACUCUCCUGUCAGUGGACAUUGGGAUUGCUCUGGGGUGUUUUUCUAUAACAACAAUGCUGCCAUGAACAGGUUUACAAAUGCCUCCAGAUGCACAUGGCAAGGAUUUAUAUCUAGCACUGAAAUUGCUUGGUUGUAGGGUAUAUGAAUAAGCCAAAUAGCUUUCCAAAGUGGCUAUACCAAUUUACACUUCCACCAGCCAUUUAUGAGAGAUCUUCUCAUCACUUAAUAUUGUCAAAUUUCCUAAAAUGUCCACACAAAUGAGUAUAAAAUGGAAUCUCAUUAUAGUGUAGAUAUGCAUUUCUCUUAUCAUUAAGAAGAUACCUGAAUGCACUUUCCAUAUUGCAGAUUUAGCCCUCAAAGGUGGUGUGGGAAGAUAUAACUAUAACUCUUUAUUACAAUUGUUCUCUUUGGUUUAAUUUUUAGGUCUUCCUAAAGGGUCUCAGACCCUCACUCCUCAUAUUCACAAUAGUCCUUUUUUGCAAUUUCCUUUAAUGUUCUAUAUGUUUGACCUUAGAACAACUGUAGUUAAGGAAGAAAUGGACCAAGACCUGCUCUCCUUUUUUCUGGUUUCUCUCCCUACAGGGCAGCAGUGUGGAAUUGACUUGUGGAAUUGACUAGCACUCCUGCUAGUUAAUUUCACACUAGGAUUAGCUCAACAGGGGAAGUUGUUCCUUUUCUUUUACAAAAGCUUUUUGUGGGAACUAUUUUCUUUUAGAAACUUGGAAUGAAAAGAAAAAUCUGCUGAGAAGGUUUUUACUUGACGUCAUUAUUUUAUAAUAAUAAAAUAGCCAUCUAGGUUCUAGACCUCUGUCCUGAAUAGCUGUAUGAUCAGAGACUAGUUACUUAACUUCCUGAGUUUAAAAUUACUCAUUUUUAAAACAAAAGUUGAUAAUCUCUUGAGUCCUUUUAAGUACCAAAAUGUUUUUAUUACAUGAACAAGUUUCGCUAGUAAACUGACUGGUUCCUUAAGUUCAUUUCAUCUUCUCCACUUGCUUCCCACCAACCGGAUUGAUCUUAGCAUUAACACAGAUUAAAACUUGAGGCCCUAGGCUGGGUGUGGUGGCUUCUGCCAGUAAUUCCAGCACUUUGGGAGGCCAAGGCGGGAGGAUCAUUUGAAGCCAGGAGUUCAAGACCAGCCUGGACAACAAAGUGAGCUCUCAUCUCUACAAAAAACACACAUGCAUGUGUGUGCACACACACACAAAGGAAGAUUUCAGACAGGGCCAUGUCAUUCUUCUUUAAUUGUUAUGUUUGCCACUGCAUCUCCAGAACUCAAUGCUGUAUCUGCCAAAGAAUAGACACCGCAUAAAUAUUUGUUGUCAGUUGAAUGAAUAGUGAAUGAAUGAGCUAGGGCUUUAUGCUCCAUUCCCAUCUCCACUCCACCACCAUACUCAAAUUCAGAAGUUACUUGAGUUGUACUUUACUUAUGAUGAGACGAUCAGGAAGCACAGAGUAGAGAAUGUCUCCAACACUGUAAAUCUAGCUGGCUCUUUAUUACUGUUUAACUGUUUCUCACGAAUAGCAAAGUAACCACACCCAGCUGAUCUCUGGGCUUGAGGACCAGGUGUCAGUAUUUUUCAAAUACUCUCCAGGAGAUUCUAAUAUACAGCCAGUUUGAGAAUCACUAUUUCAGAAAAAAAUAAAUAAAUACUCUAUUUCUGUUACUUCUGACACAAUGUGUCAGAAAGAGAGAAAAAGAGAGAGAGAGACUCCUGUAUUAACCUCGGCAAUAUCACAGUAUGGAAGCAGUGAUAUCAACUGGCUAGGCUGCAAAUAAUUUGCAAAAGACCUUUUGAGAAAAUCAGGUGACUAGGGCAAUUUAUGUAAGGUCAUUGCCCAGAAGCUGACAUUCACAUAAAAGAGAUGUCAUUGUCAACUACUACAGUGUCAGAGCUGUUUCUCAAAAUUGUCCUGAUUUAAAUUAACCAGAAGAGCUUACUCUAAUGUUUUCUGUUUUUUGAAAUCAUGCCAUAAAUAAACAUCUGUAAUAAAUAUGUCUGAACAUUAUGGGGUGAGUAUGACUAUGUUGGGAGUAAUAGAUUUGAAGUGCAUGACAAAAUAAAAGGAAUAUGCUGAUAUCAAAGGGAGUAAGAGUUGCUAUAUUUUUCUAAGACUAAAAGAGACUGGGUCCCCGAAGUCUAAACAAAGAACAGCUCUUCAAAAGAUGCUCUUCCCAUGGAUAGUGACAGAGCUUAGUGACUAAGGGAUCAGACAUGGGAGCCAGAUGCCCUGUGUUUAAGUCCCAGGUUUGCUGGUAACCAACAGUACAAUGUUGGGCAAAUUAUGCAACUUCUCAGUACUCCCAUUUUCUUACGGGGAAGAACAGCACUACCUAUGUCAAUGGGUAAUUUUGAAGAGUAGUCUGAGCUCAUAAAGCACGAUCAUUGCCUGGGACAUAGUAAGUUUAUAACACAAACCCUUAUUAUUUUCCACUUUUCAAGGAAACAUUCUCCUAACUUCAAAUCAAUAAUAAUUUUUAAAAGCUAUAUUUUUACUUCUUAUACUUUUAGGAAUGUAGCUCAUUUUAAUUCUAGGACAAAUCAUAUAAAUUUCCCACAUAACAUAUGCAUGUAUAGUAUAUACAUAUAAAAGACAAUUGGUCAGGCGUGGUGAGUCACGCCUGUAAUCCCAGCUCUUUGGGAAGCCAAGGUGGGUGGCUCACCUGAGGUAAGGAGUUCGAGACCAGCCUGGCCAACAUGGCACAACCCUGCCUCUACUAAGAAUAUAAAAAUUAGCUGGGUCUGGUGGCAGGCACCUGUAAUCCCACCUACCUGGGAGGCGGAGGCAUGAGAAUCACUUGAACCCGAGAGGCAGAGGUUACAGUGAGCCUACAUUGCACCACUGCACUCUAGCCCGGGUGACAGAGUAAGACUCUCUCUAAAAUAUAAUAAUAAUUUUUUUAAAAAGUAGCAACGACAUAAUUGCACCUAAACAAUUACCAAAAUUCUUAGUAUUUGAAUUGUCUUAAAAAUAUCUUUUUUUUUUUUUACAAAAAUGGCUUGUGAUUUUUGAAAGUUAAUUGUGCAGGGUAGAAGAUUUGAGUGGCUGAAGUAUGUUAGUUCCCCAACAGUAAGAAUUCAGAGGAUAGGAUCCCCAUGGCAUCUAGAACAAUGCCUAACUUUAUCUUGAAACAAUGAGGGGAAUGUGGAAGGGCCUGUUUAAAUAGUGGUGCUGUCUCCCAGUGAGGUGCUGAAAGACCCUUUGUGUUGACGGCAGGGAUCUGGUUAGAGGACCUGAGUGCCUUAACCUAUCAGGCCAGGUAGGAAAGGAAAAGACAAAGAGAAGGGUUUCCACCCACCUCCACCUAAUCUUAUCUUUCUCUGUCUUCUACUACCAUCACUUUUUUUUUCUCUUUCCCACUUGUUUUUUCUUUUUCUUUUUUUUUUUUUUUGAGACGGUCUCGCUUUGUCACCCAGGCUAGAGUGCAGCGGUGCGAUCUUGGCUCACUGCAACCUCUGCCGCCUGGGUUCAAGCAAUUUUCUGCCUCAGCCUCCAGAGUAUCUGGGACUACAGGCGCCCACCACUAUGCCUGGCUGAUUUUUAUAUUUUUAGUAGAGAUGGGGUUCCACCAUCUUGGCCAGGCUGGUCUUGAACUCCUGACCUCGUGAUCCACCUGCCUCGGCCUCCCAAAGUGCUGGGAUUACAGGCGUGAGCCACUGCACCCAGCCCCACCUUCCUUUUUCAAAACCUUUUUUUUUUUUUUUUUCUUGAGACAGGGUCUCGUUCUGUCGCCCAGGUCGGAGUGCAGUGGUGCAAUCUCAGCUCAUGGCAACCUCUGCCGCCUGGGCUUAAGCCAUCCUCCCACCUCAGCCUCUGGAGUAGCUGCAACUACAGGCAUGCACCACCAUACCUGGCUAAUUUUGUAUUUUUUGCAGAGACAGGAUUUUGCCAUGUUGCCCAGGCUGGUCUUGAACUUGUGAUCUCGAACAAUUGGCUCAUCUUGGCCUCCCAAAGUGCUGGGAUCACAGGUGUGAGCCACUGCACCCAGCUUAAAAUGUUUUUUUAAAAAUUGUGACAUACAGCACAAACAGGAAAGCACGAAGGAUUAAUACACCGCUCUGUAAGUUUUAACAACAAAAAAAAAUGUUUGUUAAAUCACUACUUAGUUCAAGAAAUCAGCCAGGUGUGGUAGCUCAUGUCUGUAAUCCCAGCACUUUGGAAGGUCAAGGUGGGAAAAAUAUCUUUCUAUAGUUGAUUUACUUAAAUCAAGAUCCAAACCCUAGUUUAUAUUUUGGAAGCUAUUUAAGCUUUAUACUUAUUCUAAAGGAAAACGAAUGACUAUAGCUACAACUUGAAAUUGAAAUCAUAAUACGAGAGAAAGCUAGAAUGAGAAAUGAGACUCUCACAAUAAGUUUGGGUUUUAUCUGUGACACUGACCUAGGGUUCUAUUAUGUGUUAGACUCUUUUGCUAUUGCAAUAAGAAGAAAAAUAAUUUUUCUGAAGUACUCUGGUGUAAGAAGCAUAGAGAGUUUGAAAAUAGCCUGUCUGUGGGCAUCAUAAUCCCCUGAAGUUGCAUGAUCUGGUCAAUUUCUCAGUCUUUGCAAGUUUUCUGAGUGUAGCUCCUACUUUUCUAUUCCAUAGUCUCUCUUUUCUUCCUUACAAAUAUUUGCAAAGGACUUGUUUGUAACAUUUGUACCUGGUUCUCCUAUUUUACCAUCAUGCUUCAGUUUUUUUCUUCUUCUUUCUCUUCAGGAUUCCUUGUAUACUUCUUAAGACUUGAACCUAAUGUUUUUAUUGGACUUCAUUGUUUUUGAGGUUGCUUUAAUAUGACUGCCAUUCAGCCCUCAAGUGUUCUUACAAAAAGACACUUUACUAAUUACUUUAUAGGUUACCAAUAAUUAUCAGAAUAUACGAGGUUUCUUUCAGUGUAGGUAGGUAGAAAAUAAGUAGCAAAGGUAGUAUUUAAAUAGAUAAAAUGUUAAUAUGUUUAUAUUGGGGGGAUACUAAAAAUAAAUAAACCCACAUCCUCUGUGAAGUCCUACAACAUACCCUCUUACAGCUAUGAAAGCUAAUGAGAAAGUCAUCUUUAUUGAUUAGGAUCUCAAAAUAGAGUCUUUUAUCUUGCCUACUUCUUUUCCUCAGGUUCCAUUUAUCAUAAAAUUACCAGUGCUGUUCUUCUCUAUGUAAUACCUUCUACAGUCUUGUUUAUUAAAAUGGUGUAGAGUGAUAGUUAAGAUCCUAGCUUCUGCAAUCAGCUUAGAUUCAAAUCCCAGCUUCAUGACUUCCUAGCUGUGUUUUGGGGAAAAUCAUUUAGUCUUUUCUGUGACUUGGUUUCUUCAUCUCUAAAAUGGGUAUAAUAUACCUACAUACCUACCUUAUUAUAUAUUUGAUUCUAGUUGGGCAAAUAUUCCCUCCUACCUCUCUCAGGGUAGAGUAUUUUUUCCUCCCUGUCAAUGUUAGUCUUGGUCAUGGGAUGUGGGUAGAGGUGACAGUGUGUCAGUUCCAACCCAGGCAUCAUGUGUUUCCAUUUGUACUCUUACACUCCUACUGCCACCAUGAGAAGAAUACACUCCAGGUUUGUCCUGAAUGAUAAGAGACAUAUGGAGCAAAUCUGCUCCAACACACACCCUGGAGCCAAGCCUACCUUGCUCACAGUUGGAAGGAGAGGUAUGCGGCAGAGCUCAGCCUGGUUCGCCCAAAUAAUAGUUGCCUUGCAGACUGAUGAAAAAAAUAAUUACUGUUGCUCUAAGUUACUGGGUUUUUGGGUGGCUUGUUACAAAGUGUUAUUGCAGCAAGAGCUAACAUAUAAAAUUAUUGCAAGGAUCAAAUGAGAUAAUUUAUGUAAAUAAUUUAGCAUAGUGCUAAUCAUACAGUCAUGUUCAAUUUGGGUUGCUAUUAUUAUAAUAUCAUUAUUAUUUUUUAUUUUUCUGAGUAAAAAAAUCUAAGUUAUAUGUUGUGGUUAAUUAAUAACACAGUGUUAGAUCCUCUACAGUGAGCAAGAGUCUGAGUUGGCUUCCACAUAGCUCUUGGUAUUGACCAUAGAUGGAACUGAAUCUGGCAGAUGUGGACAUCUCUCUAUCUCUCCCUGCGGCUCAUGUGGUUCCACCCCUUUCAUCCUUCACCAUAUUCAAUAUCUUAUCUAGAUUGUGGGGUGAUUCUGAAAAAUUGUCUCACAAGUAUGCAUCCGAAUACUUUGUCUUAGGUUUAUGCCAGUGGCUAUUAAACUUCAUGUUUGCUACCUUAAUUCUCUAAUUUCUCCAAAUAGAAAAUUCACAUGUAGCUCUACAGGUUAUGAAGGGUGAAAGAAAGAGGAGAAAGUCCUUUGAGAGAUAAAUCAAUAAAUUAUAGGAGAUAAUAGUGUAACUGGGUUUUUUCUUGAGUGCUGGUGGGGCACAGCUCCCGCGAGAGAAUGCUGUGGGUUUUUGUUCUCCAGUCUUUUAAAGAAUAAGAGAUGGGACCACUGCAGGUGCACCAUAUGCUCGAAAAAGUAAAUAUUGGACCCAAAAAGUGUUGUAGAAAGGUGAUUUUAUUUAGGUAGAGGAAAGAGAAGGAAAGGAGAAGAAGAGAAAGACUCCAUGAAGAGUGUGGAAGGGGAUUCCAGAAAGCUGGAAAUCCGGUAUGGGUAAAGGAGCAGGGGAAUUUAUCCUGGGGGAAAUUCCCACCUUCCCAAGUUCCUCUAGCCAAUGAAAGGAGUUCCUUAGACCUUCUGCUAGAGUAAUUGACUUUUAGUUUCUUCCCACGCCCGCAAAAUUGAAACACAAACUGUUAAAUCUCCCAGAGAGAGAUGGUAGCGGGGCAUGGCGCCUGGAAAUUCUUGCCCUUAAAACUACACCCCCUGGUGGACCCCGAAAGAGAACACAUUUCCUCAUUUAGGAGGGCAGAGACAAAUGAGAGGUAAUGAGAAGUCACAACUAAACUUUUUCUUAAGUUUAAAGUUAGUUUGCUACCUAUAUUUUAGUUUCUUUACAGUUAAUACCUGAGGUUCCAUUCAAUGUGCUGAAAAGGAAAUGUGUUUAUCAAAAAGACUCUUACUAAAAAUAUGAACUCCACAUCAUCAUGUUUAUAAAUAUCAAGUCAACAAGUAUUUUUGGGGGUACCUGCUAAGUAUCUUGUAGUGAGAUAUGAUAACAUAAUACAUACUAUAUUUUGCUGAUUCUGAGACACACAUUUGUUCAUAUUUUAACAUCUUUGAAAUCACCACCGUAGCUGGGACUAUGGGCAUGCACCACCAUGCCCAGCGGAAGCAUAAUUGUUAAUUGUUAUUUUUGCAAAGUGAGAUGGUUAUUGUGCAAUGGGCUCUAUUAUCCAAAAUAUUCAUAUAUUCACCUCCUGCUCAUGUUCAAUCAGAUACCAAUUUCUAUGGGUUCUGUCUAUAAGGUGACUCUCAGAGAACGAAUUCCUCCCAACCACUACUUCACAGGACUAAGCAAUCGUAUAUUACAUCUUGGACUAUUGCAAACCCCUCUUAUGUAAUUACUUAUCUCUAGUCUCCCUUGCUGCCUUUUAUCUGCGGUCAGGGUGAUCAUCCUAUCUCACAUUUAUGAUCAUAUCACUCCUAUAUUUAAAGAGACACAGUGGGGCUCACACCUGUAAACCCAGCACUUCGGGGGGCUGAGGCAGGUGGAUCGCUUGAGCCCUGGAGUUCAAGACCAGCUUUGAAAACAUGGCAAAACUCUAUCUCUACUACUUGGAAGACUGAGGUGGGAGGAUUACUUGAGCCUGGGAGGUAGAGGUUGCUAUAGGCCAUGAUUAUGCCACUGCACUCCAGUGUAGGCAAUAGAAGACCCUGAAGAGAGAGAGAGAGAGAGAGAGAGAGAGAGAGAGAGAGAGAGAGAGAGAGAGAGAGAGAGAGAGGAGAGAGAGAGAGAGAGAGAGAGAGAGAGAGAGAGAGAGAGAGAGAGAGAGAGA